rnacentral:telomerase_RNA from 1 species
AUUUUAACCGCUGUGUUAUUUGUACCACGGUUGGACGUUUGAACGUGUGGUGCAAAUUAUUAACAAAACUAACAAAACUACAAAUCAAUAGGUGUUGCUUGUCCGAGGGUUCAUCUAUAAAAAAAAUGUAACGGACUGCUCACAGCUUUUUUUUUU